CACCUACGGGAGGCAGCAGUGGGGAAUAUUGCACAAUGGGGGAAACCCUGAUGCAGCGACGCCGCGUGAGUGAAGAAGUAUUUCGGUAUGUAAAGCUCUAUCAGCAGGGAAGAACAUGACGGUACCUGACCAAGAAGCCCCGGCUAACUACGUGCCAGCAGCCGCGGUAAUACGUAGGGGGCAGGCGUUAUCCGGAUUUACUGGGGGUAAAGGGAGCGUAGACGGCAGCGCAAGCCUGGAGUGAAAGGAUGGGGCUCAACCCCAUGACUGC
rnacentral:rRNA from 1 species